GACGUCAUGUCUGAUAAGACUGACUUUAAAAAAUUUUACUUAUUAUUUUUCAACUUUUUAAGUUGCAGCUUGCAGCUAAUUUUAUGAUUAAAUCGUAGAGUAAGUACUUUUGAACUUCAGUUCAGUCCAACUUUGUGAUUUGACUAAAUGAACAUUACGUGAAAUACCAGUCUUCGCGGACCAAAACUUUUAUAUGAUCCAUUUUAUAAACUGUAAUGCAGCUUUGAUGUGAAACUUUCGAAGAUUGGUAGGAUUCAAUGACCUUACAUUUUACCUGAUGAGUGGAGUUUUUUCCCUCCAAACAAAACUGCAAUAAUUUGCAUCUUAGCAAUGGAAUAGAAUGUUCGAAAUAACGUUUUGUAAAACGCAGAAGUUGAAAUGUGUUUCCUGAAUGAUAGUAUUUUUUUCGUUGGAUUUCGUUACGAUUUCGUAUGUUUUCAAGAAUGGCUUUAAACAGUUCGAUGAAGAUGUUAUUUCUGAUGUAAAUGGCUCAUUAAAGAAUAAUUUCACGCAGGGUUUCUCAAAGUUCUGAUUUUUGAGCAGUACUUCGUUGAAUUUUUUCGUUGAAAGCAGCUGCAUCAUUCGAGUUUCAAGAUGUUUCCCAUCUUACGAGGUCAUUUCUAUCUCUCGAAAAACUUUGAUUUUCAAGAAGCCAGAGGGUUCAUCGUUCUGCUGCUGAUCAAACCAGAAAAUGCGAUCAUCGAUCAAUUUCGCUAUCAAGGAAUUUCCAAUUGUUUGAACGUUUUUGUCUAAGUGGAAUAUCAACGAAUUCAAAAAAAUCAAAAUCAAAAAAGCUUUAUUUAACAAGUGUUACGCAAUACAAAGAUAUGAAAACAUAACACUCUUCGCCCUAGGAUAUAGCAAAGGCCUCCCCCAGCCUGCACUAUUCUUUCCUAUCUUGGGCGAUCCUUUGAAAGUGGUGAUGGGUCAGUAGUUUCCUAAAGUCAUCCCUCCACCUAGCCUUCUGUUUCCCUUGCCUUCUUGCCCCCGUAUUAAACCAGAAAGUGACUCUUUGAGUCCAUCUAUUGUCCCUUCCUCUAGCCACAUGACCUCCCCCACCACUAUUUUUGUUUUUUGAAUCCUUUGGCCAUAGCAGUUCCAUGUUUAAUCAACUGAGUUACGAAUUCUUUGAAGCCUUGUAAUUUGUUGAUUUUUGAUAUCAAAAGUCAACGAAUUACAAGGCUCCAAAGAAUUCAUAACUCAGUUGGUUAAACGUGGAAGUGCUAUGGCCAAAGGAUUCAAUGCUCAAGAGCUUUCUAAUUGUUUGAACGUUUUUGUCUAGGUGGAAUAUCAACGAAUUCAAAAAAUCAAAAUCAAAAAAGCUUUAUUUAACAAGUGUUACAGAAUACAAAGAUAUGAAAACAUAACACUCUUGGCCCUAGUAUAUGGCAAAAGGCAAAAGCCUCCCCCAGCUUGCACUAUUCUUUCCUAUCUUGGGCGAUCCUUUGAAAGUGGUGAUGGUCAGUAGUUUCCUUGAGUCAUCCCUCCACCUAGCCUUCUGUUUCCAUUGCCUUCUUGCCCAUGUAUUGAACCAGAAAGUGACUCUUUGAGUCCAUCUAUUGUCCCUCACUCUAGCCACAUGACCCCCACCACUAUUUUAUGUACAUCAAUAUUCUAUUUAGACACUGCAUUCAAACUAUUGGAAACUUCUUGAGCAUUGAAUUCUUUGGCCGUAGCACUUCCACGGUGGAAGUGCUAUGGUCAAAGAAUUCAAUGCUCAAGAAGUUUCCAUAGUUUGAAUGCAGUGUGUAAAUGGAAUAUUGAUGUACGAGUACAAGAAACUCGGAAAUUUAUCGUUAAGUUGGUUAAAUGCGGAAAUCUAACAGUCGAUGUGUUUAAUUCGCAAGCAGUUUCCAAUGCUAUAAGCGCGUUUUCCUAGUGGAAUAUCGAUGACUUCGAAAGUGUUAGAAAAUUAUUACUUUUCAAAUGUUCGUUUCGUUCAUUCGUUGUUGUUUUUUUGUUUUUUUUUUUUGUUCAUUAUCUGCACUUACCGGAUGUAAUUUAAUUUUCAAUAAAUCGAUUAAAAUUGGAA